AUGCUGGAGGUAUCAGAAGUGCGAAUGCUGACGUGAGUAACGACAAAACGGGUGAAAAACCCGUUCGCCGAAAGACCAAGGGUUCCAGUCCAACGUUAAUCGGGGCUGGGUGAGUCGACCCCUAAGGCGAGGCCGAAAGGCGUAGUCGAUGGGAAAUUGGUUAAUAUUCCAAUACUUCUGUGUAAUGCGAUGAGAGGACGGAGAAGGUUAAGUCAGCCUGGCGUUGGUUGUCCAGGUGGAAGGAUGUAGGUAUGUAUCUUAGGCAAAUCCGGGGUACUCUAUACUGAGAUCCGAUAGCAAGCUGUACUUGUACAGCGAAGUGGCUGAUACCAUGCUUCCAGGAAAAGUCUCUAAGCUUCAGUUACACAGGAAUCGUACCCGAAACCGACACAGGUGGUCAGGUCGAGUAGACCAAGGCGCUUGAGAGAACUCUGCUGAAGGAACUAGGCAAAAUGGUACCGUAACUUCGGGAGAAGGUACGCUGUUGUUGGUGAUGGAACUUGCUUCCUGAGCUGAUGACAGCCGCAGAAACCAGGCCGCUGCAACUGUUUAUUAAAAACAUAGCACUCUGCAAACACGAAAGUGGACGUAUAGGGUGUGAUGCCUGCCCGGUGCUGGAAGGUUAAUUGAUGGGGUUAGCGUAAGCGAAGCUCUUGAUCGAAGCCCCAGUAAACGGCGGCCGUAACUAUAACGGUCCUAAGGUAGCGAAAUUCCUUGUCGGGUAAGUUCCGACCUGCACGAAUGGCAUAAUGAUGGCGGCGCUGUCUCCAGCAGAGGCUCAGUGAAAUCGAAAUCGCUGUGAAGAUGCAGUGUACCCGCGGCUAGACGGAAAGACCCCGUGAACCUUUACUGCAGCUUGACACUGAACUUUGACCUUACUUGUGUAGGAUAGGUGGGAGGCUUUGAAGUUGGAACGCUAGUUCCAAUGGAGCCGUCCUUGAAAUACCACCCUGGUAAUGUUGAGGUUCUAACUCUGUCCCGUUAUCCGGGACGAGGACCGUGUCUGGUGGGUAGUUUGACUGGGGCGGUCUCCUCCUAAAGAGUAACGGAGGAGUACGAAGGUGCGCUCAGCGUGGUCGGAAAUCACGCGUAGAGUAUAAAGGCAAAAGCGCGCUUAACUGCGAGACCCACAAGUCGAGCAGGUACGAAAGUAGGUCUUAGUGAUCCGGUGGUUCUGUAUGGAAGGGCCAUCGCUCAACGGAUAAAAGGUACUCUGGGGAUAACAGGCUGAUACCGCCCAAGAGUUCAUAUCGACGGCGGUGUUUGGCACCUCGAUGUCGGCUCAUCUCAUCCUGGGGCUGAAGCAGGUCCCAAGGGUAUGGCUGUUCGCCAUUUAAAGAGGUACGCGAGCUGGGUUUAGAACGUCGUGAGACAGUUCGGUCCCUAUCUACCGUGGGCGCUGGAAAUUUGAGAGGAUCUGCUCCUAGUACGAGAGGACCAGAGUGGACGAACCUCUGGUGUACCGGUUGUGACGCCAGUCGCAUCGCCGGGUAGCUAUGUUCGGAAGGGAUAACCGCUGAAAGCAUCUAAGCGGGAAGCCUACCUCAAGAUAAGAUUUCCCUAGGAAUUUAUUCCUCUAAAGAGCCGUUCGAGACUAGGACGUUGAUAGGUUGGAUGUGGAAGCAUAGUGAUAUGUGAAGCUGACCAAUACUAAUUGCUCGUGAGGCUUGACUA
rnacentral:rRNA from 1 species